rnacentral:rRNA from 1 species
CGGUCCUAAGGUAGCGAAAUUCCUUGUCGGGUAAGUUCCGACCUGCACGAAUGGCGUAACGACUUCCCCACUGUCUCGACCAGGAGCUCGGCGAAAUUGCAGUACGAGUAAAGAUGCUCGUUAAGCGCAGAAGGACGAAAAGACCCCGGGACCUUUACUAUACCUUGGUAUUGGCGUUAGGCGCGGAUUGUGUAGCAUAGGCGGGAGGCUUCGAAGCGCGGGCGCCAGCCCGUGUGGAGCCGCAAGGUGAAAUACCGCUCUGUUCUCGUUUGACGUCUCACCUCGAACAGUCAUCCUGUUCAGGGACAGUGCCUGGCGGGUAGUUUAACUGGGGCGGUUGCCUCCCAAAGAGUAACGGAGGCGCUCAAAGGUCCGCUCAGCCCGGUUGGCAAUCGGGUUUCGAGUGUAAUCGCACAAGCGGGCUUGACUGCGAGAACGACGGUUCGGGCAGGGACGAAAGUCGGAGAUAGUGAUCCGGUGCCGGCGCACGGGCGCGGCAUCGCUCAACGGAUAAAAGGUACCCCGGGGAUAACAGGCUGAUCAUUCCCAAGAGUCCAUAUCGACGGGAUGGUUUGGCACCUCGAUGUCGGCUCGUCGCAUCCUGGGGCUGGAGCAGGUCCCAAGGGUUCGGCUGUUCGCCGAUUAAAGCGGCACGCGAGCUGGGUUCAGAACGUCGUGAGACAGUUUGGUCUCUAUCCUCUGCGCUCGUUGGAAUCCUGAGGAGGCCUGCCCAUAGUACGAGAGGACCUGGGUGGACGGACCUCUGGUAUGCCGGUUGUCGCGCCAGCGGCAUGGCCGGUUGGCUACGUUCGGGAGGGAUAACCGCUGAAAGCAUCUAAGCGGGAAGCCUGCUCCAAGAUUAGGAUUCCUUGGCACUUCGGUGUCUGUAGCCCGCAUGUUGAACACGUGUUCGAUAGGCCGGAGGUGGAAGUCCCGCGAGGGAUGGAGCCGACCGGUACUAACGGGCGAACGCGGCACACU